rnacentral:rRNA from 1 species
UGGGGAAUAUUGCACAAUGGGCGCAAGCCUGAUGCAGCCAUGCCGCGUGUGUGAAGAAGGCCUUCGGGUUGUAAAGCACUUUCAGCGGGGAGGAAGGCGAUAAGGUUAAUAACCUUGUCGAUUGACGUUACCCGCAGAAGAAGCACCGGCUAACUCCGUGCCAGCAGCCGCGGUAAUACGGAGGGUGCAAGCGUUAAUCGGAAUUACUGGGCGUAAAGCGCACGCAGGCGGUCUGUCAAGUCGGAUGUGAAAUCCCCGGGCUUAACCUGGGAACUGCAUUCGAAACUGGCAGGCUAGAGUCUUGUAGAGGGGGGUAGAAUUCCAUGUGUAGCGGUGAAAUGCGUGGAGAUGUGGAGGAAUACCGGUGGCGAAGGCGGCCCCCUGGACAAAGACUGACGCUCAGGUGCGAAAGCGUGGGGAGCAAACAGG